UGGAGUGAGUGAGUGUGUGUAGGCGUGGUCUUUCCAUCAGGGCACCUGGCUCUCCAGCGCAGCUGCAGGCAAUUCACCAAUCAAGCUCCAGCACUAGUACUCCUGUGAUCCAGGCAGCCAGCGCCAGUUCGUUUCAGUCCGUCAAGCGACGCUGAAGGUCUACCUACUCCUCGCUUCCAGCCACGCCACCAGCCCUGUGUGUUUUCGAGCCUGCCGUGCCUAUCUCCACUCCUCCACUCCAUUUGGGUCACCAUCCUCCUACGUGGAUUUACAAGAUGUCUGUUCGGCUGACCUUACAUUAAAGAACUGUUAACUCCCAA